GGUUGGGGCCUGGCUCCCGUCAGUGUGGGUUGUUUGUCAUGAGGAUGUUUUGAUAACCAGCCCAGUGAUGCUCCCUAUGGUCACAGGGUGUCCUUGUUUUUCCUGAAGUGCUCUGACGACCCUUCGACAUUCACAGCAGACAACGCCAGCAGGAAUACUGGAUGAUGGCGUUUGACGGUAUUUGCGGGCUGCCAUUCCCCUGCAUAUCUGU
rnacentral:lncRNA from 1 species